CGUUUCCCAGGGGUCCCAGCGCGACUCUCGCGGGCCCUCGCGGUGGGGCCCAGCCCUCAGCGCCCAGGCCGCCGGGAAGCGAGGGAGGGAGGCUCCGCAGGGCGUGUGGAAAGUGGCUUUCUGCGUGGACCUGGAACCCCGCUCUUCUAGGCGGGGACCCUCGGGGUGUCCAGCGAGGCCGGCAGCCCGCGUCCCCUCUCCACCCGAGCCGCGGUCGGAAAGGCGUGAAACAGCACACUUCCGGCGGGCCCACGCUGCGUAAGGAAGUCCGCGAGCCCGGUCCUUUGCCGAGUCCGGGCUCCUGGAGAGGUCUGAUUGGGCCCGGCGGCGCACACCUGUAAUCCAGCAGCCGGGGCGGCUGAGGGCAGGGGGAUCGCCAAGGGUUCAAGACCAGCCUGAGCUACAUAGUGAGGUCCUGUCUCAGAACACCAAACAAACGAACAAAGAACCAAAGUUCAAGUCCAGCUUGGACAGCUUACUACUUAGUGAGACCCUGUCUCUAAAGCAGUGUGUGUGUGUGCGUGCGUGUGUGUGUGUGGUAGACAAAGUGUUGGCCCUGCUGUGUGUGUUGAAGCUCACACACCUCAGGAGGAGGUCGGGAUCUUUGCCUCUGUGAGCACUAGUGGCUCCAGGUUUUCCUUGGAAUGUAGCUGCAUCUCUCCAGGCUGGCCUCUGAUUUCACAUGUCCUCUUUUGUCAGAAUUCUCAGCUUCCUCUCACAAGGACGCUUGCCAGGCAUGGUGGUGGAUACCUGUAAUCCUAGCAUUGGGAGGCUGAGGCAGGAGGAGCACAAGUUGGAAGCCAGCCUCAGCUACAUAGUGAGUUCAUAGUGAGUUUUGGACUACAAAACAAGGCCCUGUCUCAAAACAAAAAAAGCUGUUUUUGGACUUAGGAUCCACUUGUGUAGCAGACACCUCUGCCCAGUAUUAGCAGGCUGUAGUGGCACAAGCUCCUUGGCCCUCCAUCACUGGGCUGUGUUACAUUGGAAGUAGCAGAGCUUGGCUGAGUUCACUCCCAGUCAAGGUCAGCUGACUCCAGCUAAAUUCUUCCCUCUGAAUUAACUGUUUGUUCUGUUCAGCACAGAUAUGCUGGGCCCUCAUUCUACAGUCCUCCUCCUUGACACUUGUCAUCAGCAGGUGUCCCGAGGCCUGGCCAGCUUCCCCCUGCCCCACACUUGUGAUGAGUAAACAGUGGACAUCCUGGGAGUCCUUUCUCUUUGCUGCCCGGAGCAGCUUGGAUCAGCCUGAGACUCAGUGUCUCUCAAGUCUCUGUCUGUGUGUUUAUUCUAAUUCCCACUUAGCUAUCUUGAGGUCAUUGGACUGGGUUGCAGGAGGCCAGUAGCACUGCAGGGCUAACCCGAUACACUUGGAUUAUUCCGGAUGAUCCACUGUCAAGAUGCCUACAUCUGCAAAGAACCCUUCGCUAAAUAAAUAAAGUCUCAUACAUUCUGGAA